GCGGCCUUCUGGACUGACACUGACACUGAGGUGCGAAAGCGUGGGUAGCAAACAGGAUUAGAUACCCUGGUAGUCCACGCCGUAAACGAUGUCGACUAGCCGUUGGGUCCCUUGAGGACUUUGUGGCGCAGUUAACGCGAUAAGUCGACCGCCUGGGGAGUACGGCCGCAAGGUUAAAACUCAAAUGAAUUGACGGGGGCCCGCACAAGCGGUGGAGCAUGUGGUUUAAUUCGAUGCAACGCGAAGAACCUUACCUACCCUUGACAUCGUGCGAACUUGGUAGAGAUACCUUGGUGCCUUCGGGAGCGCACAGACAGGUGCUGCAUGGCUGUCGUCAGCUCGUGUUGUGAAAUGUUGGGUUAAGUCCCGUAACGAGCGCAACCCUUGUCCCUAUUUGCCAGCGAUUCGGUCGGGAACU
rnacentral:rRNA from 1 species